AUAAGCUAGUUCAGCAUUCACUUGUAAAAGUUAUUCCAUAAUCAGCCAGGAAAGUGAGGUACACAGAUAAUAGCAAUACUAGUCCCAGAAUAAAAGCCUGAAUCCAAAAGCCUGCUUUUGGAGCACCUACAGAACUAGCCUGCGCUCUUACAGAUCUGGACUGAAUGUUAACAGCAGUUCUUCUCUUGGUACGUUAAAACUGCUGCCGAUCACAUUGAUGUUGAUUCACCGGAUACUUACAAUCAGAUACCUUUAUCAUCAGCUCUGUUUUUCACAGGGCAGUGCUGAGAUCAACCUCCAACACAACCUACUUACCUCAAAAUUUGAUCUCUGUAGAAGAAUGGAAGCAUUAUUCAGGGAGUGGAUUCCUUCUACUGUGACACAUCUGAAAGACAAACCUCACAUCACAAGGAGGGGGCUGGCAUACUCUUUUGUUGAUGCUCAGGACAGAAACAUGACUGAUGACCUUCCAACUCCACCAGCCACAGCCUAAGAACAUCCUAGAACACAUCUCAUUGGAAUGACAGUCCAAACGUGCAUUAACUGGAGUUCCUGAAGUCUGAACAUCACUGUAGGCAGAUAAAUAAUCAGGCUUAUUUCCAGACAUACUAAAAGCUCUCAGAAGUUCAAUCUCCAUCUUCUUAGACAGAAAAAUAAGAAUCAGGACAC